AUACUUACCUGGCGCCGGGGUCAGCCGUGGUCCCGAUGGCGGCUCCCCCAGGGUGAGGCUUGACCAUUGCACUUCGGUCUAGCUGACCCCUGCCACUACCCCAAACUGGGGCAGAUGGGGCGUGUAAUUUGUGGUAGCGGGGGACUGCGUUCGCGCUAUCCCCCA